UUUCAGAGCUUGGGCCAAUAUUCCAGCGUCCUAAAUGUGUCAGGGAAACCGCCAGAAGCGGCGGAGCCGACAGCACGGUGCCGACGAGGACCACAGGCAGCUGAAGAAAUGGAAGUUCUGAGGAACUAAGGGGCUUCCCUGAUGCUUGCAGAUGAGGCAAGGACGGAUGGAGAAUCGGGCUUUGGACGCCACAGUGAUACCCCACGUGCACCUCUCCUGGGUGACAGUGGACUUUGGUAACGCCCAGCGCUGCCCAGACAGAGCACCGCUGACCACGGAGACACCAACACACGAUCAUCGAAACUUGGUUCUACCGUGGCUCGCUCUGCCCGCGUUCUGGAGAGAGGCUGUCUUGCAGGACUCAGAGAUGACAGAGGGACAUUGAGGCCAAGUUCUGAGAGUGGCCCGUUCCAAGGAAUGGGACGUGGAACUAUCGUCCACCCAGGUGCUCAAGCCACAAACCGAGGGGUCAGCCUUAAUCUCUCUUUCUGUCACCCGCCACGUGCAACCGACUCCACACCCAGUCCACAUCCCAAACCCAUCUGCGGCUUCCGUUGUCGCCACUUCUAUGGUGGUUGGAGACACCACGCAGUAGGCCUCGGACAAGAUUCCCCGUUUCCACUCUUGUUCCUUUAGAGA